rnacentral:antisense_RNA from 1 species
CUUCACCGACCCGAGCAGCAGCGGGCGUUCGGGAUCGCGUUCCUGCCCGUAGGUGGCCAGCAGCGCCUGGGCCUC